AUCCAGCUGACGAGUCCCAAAUAGGACGAAAUGCGCAUAUACCCUUAGAAU
rnacentral:hammerhead_ribozyme from 1 species